AGCAAGCGUUUUUUCCUUUUCACCACCAGUCUAUGAGGCCAGAACACUGCUGGCACCACUAGAUUACAACUUCCACAAGGACAGACCAGCCAGGCAGAACACAGACGGAACCAAGAUCCACAUUUCAGGCUAGUCAGACAGGGUAGACGUGGGCAUCUCCAGAAGAAGACUGAGGGUCUUUGCCUCAGUGUAGGAGGAAACACUACCUCUAUCGUUUGACAGAUUGCAGGAGGAAGAGAGGAUCCUGGUGCAGGAGGUGAAGAAGCAUUGGGGGGAGUCUACAAAGAGCAACGUGAACUCUGGAGUCACUGUCCCUACAGCUGCAACAUCAGAGCAUUGCAGUGGAGUUGUCAGAGGGAGGGAGGAAUGGCCUUCUCUGCCACCUGAAGAGAAGAUUGAGUGAACUGACACAAGACCAAGUCAACAAGCUGAUUCUGGGAGGAGGGGUUAUUUUUGAUGACUCUGAUGAAGAUGAGAACUCAGAUGAAGAUAGAAGUCAUAUUGCUGAGAGCUCAGAUGACGACUGCUAUUACUUUAUGAAAUCAUACAACACCCCUGCCUCUUUCUCUCGCUCUCUCCAGCAGGAGAGGGAGAAGGCCGCCACCACCUCCCUCAGGAACAGCCUGGUCUCCCGACGUUGACCCCUGACCCCUCACCUUCUGAACACAUCCAGGGAAUGGUAAUUUGCCUGAUGACAUGCUAGUGGAAAAGGAAUGUCUCAUUUCAGCGCAUUUGUUGCCAUAUUUCCACUCCUCACCGCCUCUCCUCCGUUUCUUCUGGUCCUAGACUAUGGCGACAUCAUUAGCAACUCAGAAUGUUGGUUGAGGACCUCUUUACUGAGGAAUGUGGUUGUUGUACUUAUAGGUUUUUUGUAUUUUCAUGGAGUAUUUUUCUAUGCUGCCGCGAUUGUGGUUAUUGUGUUAUUGUGAUUUGCAACAGAGUC